CCUACGGGAGGCAGCAGUGAGGAAUAUUGGUCAAUGGGCGGGAGCCUGAACCAGCCAAGCCGCGUGAGGGAAGAAUGUACAGCGUAUCGUAAACCUCUUUUGUCAGGGAACAAAGUCGGGGACUAGUCCCCGUAUGAGUGUACCUGAAGAAAAAGCAUCGGCUAACUCCGUGCCAGCAGCCGCGGUAAUACGGAGGAUCCGAGCGUUAUCCGGAUUUAUUGGGUUUAAAGGGUGCGGAGGCGGGCUGUUAAGUCAGCUGUAAAAGGUUGGGGGUCAACCGCGACCGUGCAUUUGAAACUGGCAGGCUGGAGUUGAAGUGAGGUAGGCGGAAUGCGCGGUGUAGCGGUGAAAUGCUUAGAUAUCGCGAAGAACCCCGAUUGCGAAGGCAGCGUAC
rnacentral:rRNA from 1 species